GCCCUGCUGGCUCAAUGGUAGAGCAUCAGACUUCUAAGACUCCGCGUAACGGUCUCACCAACGCUACCGUCUAGCAAUCUGAAGGUUGUGGGUUCGAGUCCCACGUAGGGUG
rnacentral:tRNA from 1 species